rnacentral:rRNA from 1 species
GUGGGGAAUCUUCCGCAAUGGACGAAAGUCUGACGGAGCAACGCCGCGUGAGUGAAGAAGGUUUUCGGAUCGUAAAGCUCUUUCGUUAGGGACGAACGUGCUCUUUGUGAAUAAUGAGGAGUAAUGACGGUACCUAAAUAAGAAGCCACGGCUAACUACGUGCCAGCAGCCGCGGUAAUACGUAGGUGGCAAGCGUUGUCCGGAAUUAUUGGGCGUAAAGCGCGCGCAGGCGGGAUAUCAAGUCUGUCUUAAAAGUGCGAGGCUCAACCUCGGGAGGAGACAGAAACUGGUAUUCUUGAGUGUCGGAGAAGAAAGUGGAAUUCCAAGUGUAGCGGUGAAAUGCGUAGAGAUUUGGAAGAACACCAGUGGCGAAGGCGACUUUCUGGACGAUGUCUGACGCUGAGGCGCGAAAGCUAGGGGAGCGAACGGGAUUAGAAACCCCGGUAGUCC